rnacentral:rRNA from 1 species
AUUGAACGCUGGCGGCAUGCCUUACACAUGCAAGUCGAACGGCAGCACGGGAGCAAUCCUGGUGGCGAGUGGCGAACGGGUGAGUAAUAUAUCGGAACGUGCCCAGUCGUGGGGAUAACGUAGCGAAAGCUACGCUAAUACCGCAUACGAUCUAUGGAUGAAAGCGGGGGAUCGCAAGACCUCGCGCGAUUGGAGCGGCCGAUAUCAGAUUAGGUAGUUGGUGAGGUAAAGGCUCACCAAGCCGACGAUCUGUAGCUGGUCUGAGAGGACGACCAGCCACACUGGGACUGAGACACGGCCCAGACUCCUACGGGAGGCAGCAGUGGGGAAUAUUGGACAAUGGGCGGAAAGCCUGAUCCAGCAAU